rnacentral:rRNA from 1 species
UACGUAGGGUGCAAGCGUUAUCCGGAAUUAUUGGGCGUAAAGAGCUCGUAGGCGGUUUGUCGCGUCUGCUGUGAAAACUGGGGGCUCAACCCCCAGCCUGCAGUGGGUACGGGCAGACUAGAGUGCGGUAGGGGAGAUUGGAAUUCCUGGUGUAGCGGUGGAAUGCGCAGAUAUCAGGAGGAACACCGAUGGCGAAGGCAGAUCUCUGGGCCGUAACCGACGCUGAGGAGCGAAAGCAUGGGGAGCGAACAGG